rnacentral:SRP_RNA from 1 species
CUGCGCUAGGCGGGGAGCCGGCGGUGCCCUGAACCCGAAAUCCGCCUAUGCGGGGCUGAAUUCCCACCAAGAGCUCUUCCUUUGUGGUAAGGGUCCUUUCCAGAGGCGAUGAAGGUCGGGUCCCGAUGGCGAGUUCCCGCUCCAAACCCCGCCAGGUCCGGAAGGAAGCAACGGUAAGGAGAUGGGAAAGCGCGCUCGGCAAACCUGGCUGGAGCCAGAAGGGAGGAAUAUCCUGCUGGAAAGGAAGUAGCGAAGGUGGGUGCGCAG